GCAAUGCUGUUGGAAGUGUAAUUGGUAUCAAAUAUCAGUGUUCCCAAGGACAGAUUCAAUUAGCAACACUAAACCUCUCGGUUUUCAAGAAUUUAGAAUCCUUUGAGGUCGUCUAUUGUAGUUUACACGGCACUAUCCCACCUGAAAUAGGAAAUCUUCCCAAACUUACUCAUCUUGAUUUUUGUUAUAAUUCUCUUAGUGGUAAAAUACCUUUCACGAUGGGAAAUCUUUUAGAACUCACUUAUCUUCAUUUUUCUCACAAUUCACUUUAUGGGGAGAUACCUUCUACAAUAGGAAAUCUUUCUAAACUCAAUGAUCUUGAUUUAUCCUACAACUCUUUUCAAGGUGAAAUACCUUCCACAAUAGGAAAUCUUUCAAAACUUACUAUUCUUGAUUUAUCCUACAAUUCUCUUGAAGGUGAAAUACCUCUUACAAUUGGAAAUCUUUCAAAACUUUUUUAUCUUGAUUUAUCCCACAAUUCUUUUCAUGGGGAGAUACCUCCUACAAUAGGAAAUCUUUCCAAUCUCACUCAUCUUCAUUUAUCCUCUAAUACUCUUCAAGGUGAAAUACCUCCCACAGUUGGAAAUCUAACCCAACUAUGGAGCCUGGCAAUCUCUAACAACUACAUUGAAGGUCCCAUUUUUUUUGAAUUGUCAUUCCUGCAAAAUCUUAAUGUUGCAAAUCUAUCUUACAAUAAAAUCAAUGGAACAUUGCCCCUUUUGCUUUCAAACCUUAGGAACCUUAAAAAUCUUGACAUUUCACACAAUCUACUCACUGGCUCCCUAAAACCCUUCUCAGUACAAGAUUUUCCAUCCUUAGAAAGUCUGGACCUAAGCUACAAUAAUCUUACCGGUCUACCUUUACUUUUGAAUGCCUAUAAUAUGGACCUUUCCUUCAAUAAUUUGAAGGGUCCCAUUCCAAAUGGUUUAAAUCCAUAUGUGCUAAAAGGGAACAAAGGCGUAUGCAGUGACAUUUUACAUGUACAAACGGAAUACCAAUUCCACCCUUGUUUAGUCCGCCACAGGAAACUAACCAAGAAUCAGAAUCGGUUGGUCAUAAUUUUUUCUGUCACCAUUUUUCUAAUUAUGAUCUUCUCUAAACUUCUAUAUCUGAGACACAAUCGCACUGUAGUCAAGAACAAAGAUGCAAGGUUAACAAAAAUAUCUAAGAAUGGGGACUUGUUCUGCAUAUGGAACUAUGACGGAAGCAUAGCCUAUGAAGACAUCAUUAUAGCAACUGAAGACUUUGACCUCAAAUAUUGUAUCGGAACAGGUGCAUACGGGUGUGUUUAUAGGGCUCAACUACCAAGUGGAAAGAUUGUUGCGGUGAAAAAACUCCACGGCUUUGAUGCAACGGUCUCCACAUUUGAUGAGAGUUUCAGAAACGAAGCCAAAGUAUUGUCAGAAAUAAAGCACCGACUUAUCGUCAAGCUCCAUGGAUUUUGUUUGCACAAAAGAAUCAUGUUUUUGAUCUAUGAGUACAUGGAGAAAGGAAGCUUGUUUUCUGUCUUGUAUGAUGACAUGGAAGCAAUGGAAUUCGAUUGGAAAAAGAGGGUUAACACAGUGAAAGGCAUUGCACAUGCUCUCUCAUAUCUUCAUCAUGAUUGUGUCCCUCCAAUAGUGCAUAGAGACAUAUCAGCAUGCAAUGUGUUACUUAACUCCAACUGGGAGCCUACUGUUUCUGACUUUGGCAUAGCUCGAUUUCUGAACCUUGAUUCAUCCAAUCGAACUAUAGUUGCUGGAACCAUUGGAUACAUAGCUCCAGGUAAAUUGUUCAUAUUUUUCUCUAGUUUUGUUUGUUUAUAUAUUUGUGAUUUGCAACAAAUCAGGUCGAAUGAAAAUACAUACAAGAAGCAGAUGAAGUAGUUUUUUACAUUUUUAUUUUCAGUUAUUUUCCUUUGGAUGUUUGAUUGUGUUGUUGAAAAUAUGCAGAGCUUGCAUAUACAAUGGUUGUGAAUGAAAAGUGUGAUGUGUAUAGCUUUGGAGUGGUGGCGCUGGAAACUUUGAUGGGAAAACAUCCUAAGGAUAUACUCUCAUCACUUCAAUCAACUUCUACAGUAUGUGAAAUAUUGGACCAACGUCUUCCACACCCAACAGUUUCAGUUUUACAAGACAUAGUUGUUGUUGCCAUUGUGGCCUAUGCGUGCUUAAAUCCCAAUCCUUGCUCUCGCCCAACAAUGAAAUGCAUCUCUCAAUGUUUUCUUACUCGGCUCACACCAAUUAACAUUCCUUUACAUCAUAUUUCAUUGCAGCAGCUCAUGAGUCGAGAACUCACCCACUACUUAAAAUUGUGAACAUUCUGAAAUCUUUAGUCCAAAUUUAUUUUGUAACAACUUUCAAUAAAGAUUUUGUAGUUGUUUAUCAGUUGACUAGUGAUAAGUGUCAAUGUGUAGUAUUUAUAAUUGAGAAAAUUGAACAAUUUGAAACUUAAAUUGUUGUUUAAUGUCAGAAAAUUACCUUAACCUGAGAAUAUUGAAUCUUAUUAUAUAUUUUGAAUUAGAAAACAAAUGAAGAAAUUUAAUCUCAAUUUUUAUGUAAAAUUCAGAUGAAUGUGAAGCAUUAAAAAGAAAGAAAACACUUAUAGAUUGGAUAAAUAAAAUAAAGAAAGAAAUUGAAAGAAAUUUUUUGUUAUAGAACAUAGGAAAAUAUAUGGAAAAGAAUUCAGAGAAUGGUGUCAUAUGAACCCUAACUCAACUCAUAGACUCCUAUUUUCCAAAUUCAAACGUACAAUUUUCUGUCGCUGAUAAACUCGAAAGUCACGUAAAUAAAUUGCUCUUAAAAUUUAAUUUAAUAAAUUCACGUAACCUUAAGAAAAGAAAAACUAGGUCGUGGCCAAUUGUUUUGAGGGAAUUACUUACUACACCCCCACCCCAUUUUUGAACCUGCACCCCUUAUAUUUCAGUGAAAUUACCAAAUUGGUUCGGUUACUCCUCCCUCACUCACUCCACCCCAUCACCAAUGUCACCCCACCGCCCCGUCAUCACAGUACCUCAUAAUGAACUUAGAAGAAGAAAAACAAAAAAAUCAUUCCAUAAUACUUUUUUAGAACACAUUUCUAAAUAAGAAUCAUUUUAAAAAACACUAUCUAAAAAACUAUUAUACACGUUUUGAAAAGUUUAAAUUUUUUUUCAAAAUUUUUUUAAAUGUAUUUUAUGAAUUAGUUUCUAUUUUAUGAGUUUUUUUAGUGAGUUCAAUAAGGUUCCAAAGACUCCGAUAAAAAUGACAACAAAGUUUAUUUCUUGAGAUUUAUGUUCAAUAACACAUUUAUUAAUCAUUUCAUUCUUUUCCUUUUAAGACAUAGAUGGUAUCAUGUUCACUUCACCCUUUAAAAGAUAAAUAUAUUCUGGUUGUAUAAAGAUUGUUUCCAUCUUGAAGUCAAAUUUGGUGGUGAUAUUUUUCAUUUCUUGAUUUUUUUUUCUUGUUCUCAUAUAAAAUUCCAAUUAUUGGAUUUUCAAGAAUAACACAACAAAGAAAAAAAAAACAAGAAUAAAAGAAAACAUUUUGAUUGAAACUGGAAAAUUUUGUACCCAAAAUCAAUAUAAGUUUCUACCAGAUGAUCUCUUCUAUUAGACGGUAUUUGAUUGAAGUCUUUAAUAACAGAGCCAUUAAAAUAUUUUUUUAAGUGACUCCAAAUUGCGGUAACGAUGGAGCUAUGAAGUACACUUGCUAGCAUUUCUUUGAAUAAACAUUCCUAUUCAUUGCACAUGUUUGUGAGAGCAUAGGCAACAACGCAGAAAGGCUUUCAAAUAUUCAAAAGUUGGCUAAAGUGAGGCAAAAUAACGUCAGAAGAGCGUGGCACAGUCAAAAGCGGCACAACGUUGUGGAAUUCUCUGCUACAAAAGUUAACAUCUCAUAAUCAAACUCUUUUUCAGUCUCAAUUUUUUACUCUAUCGGCAAAUUUUUUUCCAACCUAUUUAUAAAAGCUAAGUACAAUUUUUUUCCAACAUAUUUAUAAAACCUAUUUAUAAAAAUGUAGAAAAAUCACUACAACCGUAUCUAACAAAACUAAUUGUGAAAUAUCAAAAGAAAGUGAAGUCAUACUAAUAUGGACUAUAAUUACAUUUUAUCUUAAUUAGUAUAAAUACAGUAAAUAAAUAUAAUAUCAUUUACUUAUUAUUACUUUUAUUGUAUUUAAUAUUAUUAUUCAUUUAAAAUUUUCAGAAUGAUUACGAAUUAUAAGAAAGAAAUAUUUUAAAUUGUGUAGAACCAGAGAUACCUAUUAUUCACUUUUUUAUGGUAAUAAAAUUAAAAUAAUAAAAUAAGAUAUCAUAAUAAUUUUUAAAAUAUAAAUCGAUUAUUCAAAUUUUAUAAAAAAUAAUUGUUAAAAAAUAUUUUUUAUUAACUUUUGUAACGUUAUAAAAAUAAUACACAUUAUUAAUGAUUAUAUAUAUAAUAAAACACAAAGAAGUAAAACAGGUAAUAUAAUUAAUACCCAAUGAUUAGAAAAGGCCAAAAAAAUCCCUAUUUGGUUCAGAUUAGACUCUCUAAGUCAAGUAGUGGCGUGACAGAUGCAUGCAUAGCAUCAAUGGGGACAAAAGCCUUGUGGAAUUUCCCCGUAGAUGCUUCUUCUAUUCAACUUGGGUUAUGACAGUAUAAGAAUCAGCAGCUACCAUACUACUCAUUCAUCAUUAACUUUCCUUCUAUUACCUCUUUUUGCAGAUGAUGCAGUUUUUGGAUUCCAAUUUCCAUGGUAUGUUCUUUAUUCUUAUUUACGUUUUGCUUUUUCUGAGCUCUGUUUUGGAGUUAGGAUCAGCGUCUACACCAUCGCAGCUUCAAUUGGAAGCAAACGCUAUAAUCAAUAGUGGAUGGUGGAAUCUCUCUUCUUCAGAUUCACAUCAUAUUUGUUCAUUGAAUCAUGGUAUACAUUGCAAUGUUGUUGGAAGUGUAAUUGGUAUCAAAUAUCAGUGUUCCGAAGGACGGAUUCAAUUAGCAACACUAAACCUCUCGGUUUUCAAGAAUUUAGAAUCCUUUGAGGUCACCCAUUGUAGUCUACAUGGCACUAUCCCACCUGAAAUAGGAAAUCUUCUCAAACUUACUCAUCUUGAUUUUUGUUAUAAUUCUCUAAGUGGUAAAAUACCUUUCACGAUAGGAAAUCUUUUGGAACUUACUUAUCUUCAUUUUUCUCACAAUUCACUUCAUGGGAAGAUACCUUCUACAAUAGGAAAUCUUUUCAAACUCAAUGAUCUUGAUUUAUCCUAUAACUCUCUUUAGGGUGAAAUACCUUCCACAAUAGGAAAUCUUUCAAAACUUACUAUUUUUGAUUUAUCCUACAAUUCUCUUGAAGGUAAAAUACCUCCUACAAUUGGAAAUCUUUCCAAACUUUUUCAUCUUGAUUUAUCCCACAAUUCUUUCCAUGGGGAGAUACCUCCUACAAUAGGAAAUCUUUCAAAUCUCACUUAUCUUCAUUUAUCCUUCAAUACUCUUC
rnacentral:lncRNA from 1 species